GCCUAUGGCCAGACUGGGCUGAUUGUACCCGAUCCUGUCUGAUCUCAGAAGCUAAGCAGUCCUGGGCCUGGCUAGUACCUGGAUGGGAGGCCGCCUGGGAAUCCCGGGUGCCGUAGGCC
rnacentral:rRNA from 1 species